rnacentral:tRNA from 1 species
GGGCUAUUAGCUCAGUUGGUUAGAGCGCACCCCUGAUAAGGGUGAGGGCAUUGGUUCAAAUCUAAUAUAGCCCA